CCAAUCCUCUGAAAGCCUGUCACACACACACACAGGCCCAUUAGGAGAUUAGCAUGAUAGUUAGAUGACAGUCAGUGUGACCACCAUCAUAUGAUGGUGUGUGAGCGCAUGUGUCCAUGUUGCUUAUUGUAUAUCAAUAGCGACAGACAUUGCUCAGAGCAAAUAAAUAAAGUAAACCAGAAUUUUUUUUUGACAGUAAUCGACUAAAACCCUUUCUGCCACGUAUAAUCUGAAUUAGUUCAUUACCUCAAACCCAAUUAAUCCAUUCAUAAGGUUUUAAAGAGUGUGAAGAUUAAUUUUAAGGUGGGGUUGAAAAAAUUCUGUAAACAUAGUGGAAUAGAAAAAAAGACAAUGAGAGAGAGAGAGAGACGGAGGGACGUCUCUGGAAGUUUACUUAAGGAAGAGAGCAUGGAGAUGAGGUUCCACAAGAAGAAGAGAAAGAAGAAAACAAGGGAACAAUUACAUAGCAUGAACACCAUGAUAGAUGCAGGAUGGAAUAGCAACAAGAACAGGAUGGAUGUAAGAUAGAAUAUCAGGAUGGAUGGAAAGGUUAGUGUGGUAGCAAGAUGGUAGAUAAGAUAGAUAGAUAGAUAGACAAACAAAUCCACUUGUGCAGCGAAGUACAGCAAAAUAGAUCUUACUGUAUGGAGUGAAGCAGAGUAGGGAGACUAGGAGUAGCGUGUAGCUCAGGAUAGCCGUCAUAUCGGAUGAUAUCGGUUCUUCGAGGUCCUUCCCUAGAACAAUCUCACAAUAGAAAGCAGGUUGUUUGUUUUGAGGUCCUUCCCUGGAACAAUUUCACAAUAGAAAGCAGGUUGUUUGUUUUGAGGUCCUUCCCUGGAACAAUCUCACAAUAGAAAGCAGGUUGUUUGCUUCGAGGUCCUUCCCAGGAACAAUCUCACAAUAGAAAGCAAGUUGUUUGCUUCGAGGUCCUUCCCUGGAACAAUCUCACAAUAGAAAGCAAGUUGUUUGCUUCGAGGUCCUUCCCUGGAACAAUCUCACAAUAGAAAGCAGGUUGUGUGCUUCGAGGUCCUUCCCUGGAGUGAUGUGCAGGUUGUUUGCUGCUAAACCCUUCUGAUCUUAAUCCUGUCUUCUGCUCGCAGGGAAUAAAUACCCCGGUCUGCCUCUAAGGACCAGGAGAUUAGCAGUUAGCAGUAACUUCUCCACUGAGGGCGUCUUGCUCAGUUAGCAGCUAGGCUAACUCUGUCUGUCUUAACCAUCCAGGUGCUUCUUUCCAACCAAACUACUCAGUGGAAUCAUGGGGAAGUGGUGGGUGUCAUCUGACUUUGUCAACAUCUUAAUCAGAUCUGACUCCACCCAACUCCCCCCACCUCUGCCCUGGUGGGGCUAGGUAUGGUGGGACUAUUGUGUGGUGAGACUAGGUGUGUUGGGACUAGGUGCGGUGGGACUACUGUGUGGUGGGACUUGGCUUGGUGGGACUAGGUAUGGUGGGACUAGGUGUGUUAGGACUAGGUUUGGUGGCACUAGGUGUGGUGGGACUAUUGUGUGUUGGAACUAGGUGUGUUGGGACCAGGUGUAGUGAGACUAGGUGUGUUGGGACUAGGUGUGUUGGGACCAGGUGUAGUGAGACUAGGUGUGGAGGGACUAGGUGUGUUGGGACCAGGUGUAGUGAGACUAGGUGUGGAGGGACUAGGUGUGUUGGGACCAGGUGUAGUGAGACUAGGUGUGGAGGGACUAGGUGUGGUGGGACUAGGUGUGUUGGGACCAGGUGUAGUGAGACUAGGUGUGGAGGGACUAGGUGUGGUGGGACUAGGUGUAGUGAGACUAGGUGUGUUGGGACUAGGUGUGUUGGGACCAGGUGUAGUGAGACUAGGUGUGGAGGGACUAGGUGUGUUGGGACUAGGUGUGGUGGGACUAGGUGUGUUGGGACUAGGUGUGUUGGGACAUGAAGAGCGCAGUUCACAGACACUCCUUCCAAUCUGACAGAGUUUGAGAGGAUCUGCAAGGACGUUUGGGAGAAAAUGCCUAAAUCCAGGUGUGCAAAACUGGUGGAGGCAUACCCAAAGGAUUGCCUCGACUCAAAGGACUUGAAGCUGAUUGAGGCUCACCCAAAGGACUCGAGGCUGGUAUUGGCUCACCCAAAGUACUCAAAGCUGGUCGAGGCUCACCCAAAGGACUCGAGGCUGGUAUUGGCUCACCCAAAGUACUCAAAGCUGGUCGA
ensembl:lncRNA